CCUGAGAAACCCGAAAGAUCGAAUGGGGAGAUUCAUCGUCAGCGAUUCCGGUACGUGUACGGCUCGCGAUGUCCGAGACUUCGGUCUCGCGGCACGCGUCCGUAUGUUUUUUAUUGCUGGAAUCGUCGGCGUGCACUUCUCCCCUAGUAGGACGUCGCGACCCGUUGGGUGUCGGUCUACGGCACGGUAGGUAGCCUGUCACGUGUGCGCUUCACGGUGUUACGCGGGGCAGACCUCCGUUCGCCCGACCGGCUGCUCGGCGGUACUCGCAAGGUAUCUGGCCGCAGACAUACGAACUGCGUCCGGCCCGUCGCAAGCGCGGCAAGUGUCUCACCCGGCUGUACGGAUCCAAUGCCGUCACCGGGCCUUGCCAGCUGUUGGUUGACGGUGUCCUAGGACUGGCUAAYAAAAUUAUGAUACCGGUCGGCGACGCUACUGCUUUGGGUACUUUCAGGA
rnacentral:rRNA from 1 species